AGGUGACGAGUUGUCUGGAGGCUCGAGGUGACCCUGACCUUGGGGCUGCGCCUAUGGGUUUGCGAGGCUGACAGUUUCCUAGGCGUCACCCCAAGCCGUGACCAGGCCUUUCCUCCUCACCAAAGUGCGACAUUGGCCCUGGAAAUCCCCCGGGCAAGAGAGGGUUGUAAAUUCAGCUUCCUUAACGUCGCAGAUUAGAAUGUUCUACACCACAGCACCUGCAUAAAUAAAGGUCUUUUAGAUGCCA
rnacentral:lncRNA from 1 species